rnacentral:rRNA from 1 species
AUUGAACGCUGGCGGCAUGCCUUACACAUGCAAGUCGAACGGCAGCACGGGAGCAAUCCUGGUGGCGAGUGGCGAACGGGUGAGUAAAGUAUCGGAACGUGCCCAGUCGUGGGGGAUAACGUAGCGAAAGUUACGCUAAUACCGCAUACGAUCUAUGGAUGAAAGCGGGGGAUCGCAAGACCUCGCGCGAUUGGAGCGGCCGAUAUCAGAUUAGGUAGUUGGUGGGUAAAGGCUCACCAAGCCGACGAUCUGUAGCUGGUCUGAGAGGACGACCAGCCACACUGGGACUGAGACACGGCCCAGACUCCUACGGGAGGCAGCAGUGGGGAGUUUUGGACAAUGGGCGCAAGCCUGAUCCAGCCAUGCCGCGUGCAGGAUGAAGGCCUUCGGGUUGUAAACUGUUUUUGUACGGAACGAAAAGGUUUGGCCUAAUAAGCUGAGCUCAUGACGGUACCGUAAGAAUAAGCACCGGCUAACUACGUGCCAGCAGCCGCAGUAA